UCGGGACACUAUUAUUAAUAUUAUUAUUUAUUUAUUUUCAUUUUUAUCCCUAUAAUACAAAAGUUAUGGCAGGCUAUUUAGCCAUGCCUAGCCUGAGACAGUCGGUUAAUUUGAGCUAGAAAGUUCUACUAAAUAUUUCCAUGGACCAUGGCCAAUGAAGAGUCGUUUCAAAAUACUGAGUUUAGCUUAAAUUGUUUUUGGUUGUUUUAGGGUAAUAAUAUUUUAAACUUACCGUCUUUCACAAAGUCCUAGCUUCAGGCUGUCUUAUGAUGAAAUGAACAGUUAAUUAAAACAAUCAUGGUCUUGUAUAUAGUUUAAGGCCGGUGACCGGAAAAAGUCGUU